rnacentral:rRNA from 1 species
GAUGAACGCUGGCGGCGUGCCUAAUACAUGCAAGUCGAGCGAACAGAUAAGGAGCUUGCUCCUUUGACGUUAGCGGCGGACGGGUGAGUAACACGUGGGUAACCUACCUAUAAGACUGGAAUAACUCCGGGAAACCGGGGCUAAUGCCGGAUAAUAUUUAGAACCGCAUGGUUCUAAAGUGAAAGAUGGUUUUGCUAUCACUUAUAGAUGGACCCGCGCCGUAUUAGCUAGUUGGUGGGGUAAUGGCUUACCAAGGCGACGAUACGUAGCCGACCUGAGAGGGUGAUCGGCCACACUGGAACUGAGACACGGUCCAGACUCCUACGGGAGGCAGCAGUAGGGAAUCUUCCGCAAUGGGCGAAAGCCUGACGGAGCAACGCCGCGUGAGUGAUGAAGGGUUUCGGCUCGUAAAACUCUGUUAUUAGGGAAGAACAAAUGUGUAAGUAACUGUGCACAUCUUGACGGUACCUAAUCAGAAAGCCACGGCUAACUACGUGCCAGCAGCCGCGG